UAACCUCUAACCAUCACUAGUGCCCAACGUAAUCAUGUGCUGAAAUUAAUUUCCCGACAUUUCCAUCUUCGUGUUAUUUUUAUUUUUAAAUUCGGUUUAAUAUAUUUUGUAGUUCUUUCGAUAUUUAAGCACAUCAUAACCUAAUACUAGUUUGCAAUAAAGAUUUUUGUGAAUUCGCCAUCGAAAAAUAUUACAAGUCUUUUUUUUAAAGUCGUGGGGUGUUCAGACAUAGAGGACACCCUCCUUAAAAUACGCCACUCAAUAUACUACAAUCGACCAUCAAGCGUUCAGUUAGCCUUGGUUAAUUUUUGUAUCAUAAUCUUUUAAAAAUUAAAGAAGAACAUCAUGCUAGUUUAUUAAAUGUUAUCGACGAAUUUGACAAAACCAAUGAAUCACUUUUACCUAGGAAUAUUACAUUUCAUAAUCUUAAUAACUUGGACACUAAUCGAUUAGACUUGGAACAGAAAUCUUUACAUUCAGUUAAAAAUAAUUCUCAAAAUAACUUUAUUCUUACUGACCAGCACAAGAAUAUAAUGGAAAAAAAAAAAUCUUUAAAAGAUAUAUACAUGUAUAUU